GGGGGCGUAAAGGUUUCGACGGGGGGAGCGAGGCCUGGGCAGCGGGUAGCAGUGGGGGAACUGCUCUAAACUCCUCCAAAAAAUUAACUGACAACAAUAAUUAUGGCGUCCUUUAGACACAGCACCUGAACGGACCUAAGCUUUGCGGACCGGCAGGAACUCAUGAAGCUACUGAAGCGUUAGCCUGACGACCGGCGUGACGCGGAGGGAAUGUUGUAGAUCGCCUGCACCCGGAGACACCUACGCUGAACUCUUUUCGGACAUGGGUUCGACUCCCAUCGCCUCCACCA
rnacentral:tmRNA from 1 species